GUAGACGCGCCUGCGUGGCUGGGUGACUCUGACCACUGAUUUCCUCCAUGAGCCACUGUAGCACCUUUUAUGUUGUGAUACUCCUACAUAUUCAUGGAAGCAGUUAAUCACAUGAUUGUAAAGGAAUAUGCGAAGCUGAUGAGACUAGAGCUAAAGUUCUUUCUCUUGGAUUCCUCAGUUAGGUGCUUGAUCAAGGCUGCGUAUGAGCUUAUUAACAUCGAUGGUGUGCUAAAUGUGAUCAUAAGGAACCUGGAAAAGGAGUAUGUCUCUUAAUGGACAUCUUUCUAUUUUGCAUUGAACUUUGAUUAAUUAUUUUACUGUACAUUUUCCAAAAUUCAAGGAUUGGCUUCUUACUCAUUACAAAUGGUUCCGGUCUUUAUUCUUAGUUUUUACAGUUACAUAAAGAACAAUGUUCAAAUUCACUGACAUGUGCAUUGUGACAGUACUUCACUGUAUGUUCAUUAUAUAUGCAUGUAGCAAUACUUCCUUUCAAUCUAUUCAUUAGUUCGUAAGCUAGAUCGUGUGCCAAGUUGCAUUUACUGGACACUUGCUACUCUUUUCCUUGUGCAAUUAUUCAGUCCUGGUUAUAUUUUGUGGUAUUUCUGAGUUGCAUAAAUGACUCGAAACAUCGGGAGCUACUAAAUCUUACCUGUACUGAAUUUGUGCUUUUUUGUAAUAUCAAAAUACGGUUCUCCUUCAAAGUAUUAUUUUUCCUUCUACUGAAUAUGCUUCUGGAAAAGGAUCUCAACAGAUCAACCAGAAGGAGAAGAGAGCAGCCAAAGAGAAGUUAAGAACAAGACACAUGCUUCAGAUUAACUCCUAUUCCUGGACCUAUAUGCUUUUGAUGAUUGAAUUAGAUAAAACAAGUAUAUAUUUCUAAAGAUUAAUGGAUUCUAAUCGUAUGAUUUUGACAUGCAGCUAAGUUUUCCAUAUGUCUGACUAUUGUGUUGCCGUGCAAAUAUGCAGAAGGAUGGUCUACCUUUUUGGGACUUGGUUUUGUGAAUCGAUGUGUUAUCUUGAGCAAAUAUCUUACUAUUUGUACAAUGUUAUAAUAUGAACUUUUACUAUUGAUAUAUCAUA